GGAUUAGAUACCCUGGUAGUCCACGCCGUAAACGAUGUCUACUAGUUGUCGGUUGUCUUGUACGACGGGUAACGCAGCUAACGCGAUAAAUUGACCGCCUGGGGAGUACGGUCGCAAGAUUAAAACUCAAAUGAAUUGACGGGGGCCCGCACAAGCGGUGGAGCAUGUGGUUUAAUUCGAAACAACGCGAAGAACCUUACCCGGGUUUGAAAUCCUUGGAUGCCUCCUGUGAAAGCAGGUCGGGUUGCCCUUCGGGGUGAAACUUGGACAGGUGUUGCAUGGCUGUCGUCAGCUCGUGCUG
rnacentral:rRNA from 1 species